UACGGAGGGUGCAAGCGUUGUCCGGAAUCACUGGGCGUAAAGGGCGCGUAGGCGGCUCAUGAAGGCUGUGGUGAAAGUCCGGGGCUCAACCUCGGAUCGGCCGUGGCGACUCGUGGGCUGGAGCACUGUAGAGGCGGGUGGAAUUCCGGGUGUAGCGGUGGAAUGCGUAGAGAUCCGGAAGAACACCAAUUGCGAAGGCAGCUUACUAUGGUUUGAUUGACACUGAGGCACGAAAGCGUGGGGAUCAAACAGG
rnacentral:rRNA from 1 species